rnacentral:rRNA from 1 species
GUCCACACCGUAAACGAUGGAUACUAGGUGUCCGGGACUUCGGUCCUGGGUGCCCAAGGGAAACCGAUAAGUAUCCCACCUGGGGAGUACGUCCGCAAGGAUGAAACUCAAAGGAAUUGACGGGGGCCCGCACAAGCGGUGGAGCAUGUGGUUUAAUUCGAUGAUACGCGAGAAACCUUACCUGGGCUAGAAUGCCCCUGACAGGCCGUGAAAGCGGUUUUUCCUUCGGGACAGGGUGCAAAGGUGCUGCAUGGUUGUCGU